rnacentral:lncRNA from 1 species
GGCUGUGCCAGGGAUCCAGAGGCUAAAGCACAUUCCAGCAAAAACACUGGCCCCCGCUUGGAACCCAGAGCCCAGUCUGGGUCCGGCAAGGGGCUGGCCCUGUGCCCACCUAACUGAGCCAUUUCCUUCCAGACUGGGGCACAUUUCCUGCCCGGAGGGAACAGAGCACAUUCCCAGGCGGCAUGGACUGGGUCCUGCAUUGGGGGAGGGGAUUCCGUAGGCAUUUUCCCAACCCCAGCGACCACGCCCUGGGAUGAGAGGCCUGUCCUGGUGGUAGGGCUAGGAGCACGGUUCAAAGGGUGCUGCUGGAGCUGUCCAAGGGGUGGCCAUUCUUCGGGGAAUGAGCUGAAACCACCCGGCCCUGCCUUGGGUGCAGCCUGCUCUGUAUCCCAGGUGUGCUGAGCGUAGAGCGAGAAGGAUCCUUGAGUCACCCCUGCCUGCUCCCAAGCAGCAGUCUUCGGAGGAGGAGAUCAGGACCCAGACGCACAUCGAGGGACCACCAUGUGCAGACACAGAGAGAAAGCAGCAUCUGCAAGCCAUGGACAGAGGCCUCAGAAGAAACCAGCCCACUGACACCUUGGUCUCCAGCAUCCAGCCUCCAGAACUGUGAGAAAAUACAUUUCUAUUGUCUAAAAAAAAAAAAA